UUGGAUAUUCGACACAUUCGAAAAAUCUAUAAUGCAGCUUGACCUUCCAAUAUAAAACCAACUUUACCACGGUCUGUGACAGCUCGCUGGCUGCGCAGGAAGCUACAGACACUGUUUUUGACGUGAUUAAACAUAAUAUUUUGAUUGAACGGGUUGCAAAAAUCUGCAUAUAAUUAGGAAAGUGAGGACUGCGUUUAUAAUGUGAUCUAACAUAAUAUUUGACGGAGCCCAGGGCCCCUUAGAUGUCCUGUGCCCCUGGGCAAGUGACCAGUUGCCCUAAUGGUUAAUCCGGCUCUGCAUUAAUUACUUGUAUAUUUAU